rnacentral:sRNA from 1 species
GCGGAGGAAAAGAAACCAACAGGGAUUGCCCUAGUAAUGGCGAAUGAAGCGGCAACAGCUCAAAUUUGAAAUCUGGCCCUCCUUCUUGGGGGGUCCGAGUUGUAAUUUGCAGAGGGUGCUUUGGCGUUGGUGGCGGUCUAAGUUCCUUGGAACAGGCCAUCGCAGAGGGUGAGAAUCCCGUAUGUGGUCGCCCGCCUUCGCCAUGUAAAGCCCCCUCGACGAGUCGCGUUGUUUGGGAAUGCAGCGCAAAAUGGGAGGUAAAUUUCUUCUAAAGCUAAAUACUGGCCAGAGACCGAUAGCGCACAAGUAGAGUGAUCGAAAGAUGAAAAGCACUUUGGAAAGAGAGUCAAAUAGCACGUGAAAUUGUUGAAAGGGAAGCGCUUGCAGCCAGACGUGCCUGCGGUUGCUCAGCUGGGCUCCCCCCUAAACCAGGGGCGCCCGGUGCACUCUUCCGCAGGCAGGCCAGCAUCAGUUUGGGCGACUGGUAGAAAGACCUCUGUCACGUAUCUUCCUCCGGGAUGACCUUAUAGGGGAGGUGUAAUGCAGCCAGCCUGGACUGAGGGACCGCGCUUCGGCGAGGAUGCUGGCGUAAUGGCUGUAAGCGGCCCGUCUUGAAACACGGACCAAGGAGUCUAACAUCUAUGCGAGUGUUUGGGUGUCAAAGCCCAGGCGCGCAAUGAAAGUAAACGGAGGUGGGAACCCUUCCUCGCGGGGGGGGGCGCACCAUCGACCGAUCCUGAUGUCUUCGGAUGGAUUUGAGUAAGAGCAUAGCUGUUGGGACCCGAAAGAUGGUGAACUAUGCUUGAAUAGGGUGAAGCCAGAGGAAACUCUGGUGGAGGCUCGCAGCGGUUCUGACGUGCAAAUCGAUCGUCAAAUUUGGGCAUAGGGGCGAAAGACUAAUCGAACUAUCUAGUAGCUGGUCCUGC